CCUUCCACCAUGGGCUGAUGGCAGAGAACGAGACGUAACUGACGUGACGUGACGUGACGUGACGUUGAGGUUGAGUAAGGCAGAGAAAAGCCGUAAAGACGUACGACGUGUUGUGUUGAAUGUCUGAUGAUCUAUUAAGUGCGCGGAGAGACGAGGUUAAUCCACAUUUUUCCCUGCUAUAUAUACUACAAUUAUUACAAACGUACAUGUUUUUCUCGAUUGACGAGUUUUGUAUCUUAAAAAUAUUCCACUACUUUGAUGCAGAAUAGUAUUGCAUUAGAAUAACCUACAUGCAGCGAGCGAACUACAUCAACUACAACUUACUCAUUAAGCUAUCUCUGUACAGUUGCAUUUUUUUUCGGUCUCCCAAUCUUAUUUAUUUGCUUUUUCAGUAGAAUAUUUAGUUAUUUUGAAAGUGAUACAAGAAUAAAAAUGUUGGAUCAUUCACGUAUUGUCAAAUUUUGAUGAUUCACCUGUAACGAACACAGAUAGGUAAAAUAUGAUUUAAUUAAUUAAUAAGUAAUUAAGAAAUGUUAUUCCUUUUCAAUGCUUACAAUAUGCUUAUAACUAAUAAAAAAAAUGAACAGUGAUAGUGAAUUUAUAAUUCUGGUAAUGAAUUGGAUAAUUACAUAUGUUUUGUUAAGACGUAAAAGAAAACAAAUUAGAUGGUUAAAUAGGCGAUGGCUUGUGAGUCCUAUUAAUACAAUGAGGAUUCAAUAUGGAGAUUAUAAUAACUUAUUUCAAAAACUAAAAGAUGAUCCUGCAUUAUUUUAUCGUUAUACUAGAAUGACAUUGGCACAUUUUCAGCAAUUAGUACAAAUGACAGAACCAUAUUUGAUAAAGAAAAGCUCUCGUGCUUUAAUACCAGAACUACGACUUUUAAUAACUCUAAGAUAUCUUGCCACAGGCGAUUUACCAUUGACUGUAGCUUUGGCAUUUAGAGUUGGUGAAUCCACAGUAAGAGAAGUGGUAAAAGAAGUUUGUAAUAUUUUGAUUAAGAUUUUGGAAGCAUUAUAUCUUUCUCCACCUACAAAAGAAGAUUGGAGAAUAUGUUUUCAUGGAUAUUGGAAGAGAUGGAACAUUCCAAAUUGUGCGGGUUCCAUAGAUGGCAAACAUAUUAGAUUACGCUGUCCUCCAAACUCUGGAAGCUUGUAUUUUAAUUAUAAAAAUUUUAUAGUGUGGUUUUAUUGGCAGUAUCUGAUCAUUUAUACAGAUUUACAUUAGUUGAUAUUGGAGCAUUUGGAGGAACUAGUGACGGAGGCAUUUUCAAUAACUGUGAUAUAGGAAAAAACUUAGAAAAUAAUAGAUUAAAUUUACCAGAAGAACCUAUAAACCUUCCUAAUAGCAAUUUAAAAACGUACACUUACUUUGUAGCCGAUGAUGCUUUUAAAUUAUCAAAAAGAAUUAUGAAACCUUAUUCUAGUACGAACUUGACAUAUAAAAAAAAAUUUUUAAUUAUAGACUUUCUAGAGCACGAAGAACAGUUGAAAGUGCUUUUGGAAUUUUUUCGAAUAAAUGGAGAAUAUUCCACACAGCUAUUAGUAUGCUACCAGAAACCGCUGAUGUAAUUGUAACAGCUUCAGUUUGUCUACACAAUUAUAUACUGAAAGAGGAGCAACGCAGUGGAACUAAAAUGUAUAGUCAAGAACAAAUUUCUGAUAAUACUGAAAACCAAAAUUCACCCUGGAUCAAUAUACCAAAUAAUCUUCAAGAAGAUAACGUACAAACUGCCGAAAUUCAAAGAAAUAUUUUGAGUGAUUAUUUUAUUUCUGAAGUUGGACAAGUGGAAUGGCAACAUGACUAUGUUCAAAGAGGUGUACAUGCAGACGAAUAAAUUUUUUUUUUUAAUUUUAUUUUUAUGAUAUGUCUUACAAAACUAUUAAAAUUAUACAUUUAUACUCAGUCAAUUAUACUCAAAAGAGUAUAAUACAUCACAGACACAAAUACUGUUUGAUAUAAUUUUUUAAAUAAACUAGUAAUUAUUUUGUUUCAUAAAAAUUUUAAAAUAAAAUAUAAAUGUUAUAUCUUUACAAUAAAAAAAUAAUAAUACCUAUUUGUACUGUCACAAUUACAAUGUAUGUAAAGAUUUCUUAAAAUAUAUAAUUCUUAUUUUAAUAA